UACGUAGGGGGGCAAGCGUUGUCCGGAAUCAUUGGGCGUAAAGCGCGUGUAGGCGGCCCGGUAAGUCCGCUGUAAAAGUCCAGGGCUCAACCCUGGAAAGCCGGUGGAUACUGUCGGGCUCGAGUCCGGAAGAGGAGAGUGGAAUUCCUGGUGUAGCGGUGAAAUGCGCAGAUAUCAGGAAGAACACCCGUGGCGAAGGCGGCUCUCUGGGACGGUACUGACGCUGAGACGCGAAAGCGUGGGGAGCGAACAGG
rnacentral:rRNA from 1 species